rnacentral:rRNA from 1 species
CAGAACGAACGCUGGCGGCGUGGAUAAGACAUGCAAGUCGAACGAGAGAAUUGCUAGCUUGCUAAUAAUUCUCUAGUGGCGCACGGGUGAGUAACACGUGAGUAACCUGCCCCCGAGAGCGGGAUAGCCCUGGGAAACUGGGAUUAAUACCGCAUAGUAUCGAAAGAUUAAAGCAGCAAUGCGCUUGGGGAUGGGCUCGCGGCCUAUUAGUUAGUUGGUGAGGUAACGGCUCACCAAGGCGAUGACGGGUAGCCGGUCUGAGAGGAUGUCCGGCCACACUGGAACUGAGACACGGUCCAGACACCUACGGGUGGCAGCAGUCGAGAAUCAUUCACAAUGGGGGAAACCCUGAUGGUGUGACGCCGCGUGGGGGAAUGAAGGUCUUCGGAUUGUAAACCCCUGUCAUGUGGGAGCAAAUUAAAAAGAUAGUACCACAAGAGGAAGAGACGGCUAACUCUGUGCCAGCAGCCGCGGUAAUACAGAGGUCUCAAGCGUUGUUCGGAAUCACUGGGCGUAAAGCGUGCGUAGGCUGUUUCGUAAGUCGUGUGUGAAAGGCGCGGGCUCAACCCGCGGACGGCACAUGAUACUGCGAGACUAGAGUAAUGGAGGGGGAACCGGAAUUCUCGGUGUAGCAGUGAAAUGCGUAGAUAUCGAGAGGAACACUCGUGGCGAAGGCGGGUUCCUGGACAUUAACUGACGCUGAGGCACGAAGGCCAGGGGAGCGAAAGGGAUUAGAUACCCCUGUAGUCCUGGCAGUAAACGGUGCACGCUUGGUGUGCGGGGAAUCGACCCCCUGCGUGCCGGAGCUAACGCGUUAAGCGCGCCGCCUGGGGAGUACGGUCGCAAGAUUAAAACUCAAAGAAAUUGACGGGGACCCGCACAAGCGGUGGAGUAUGUGGCUUAAUUCGAUGCAACGCGAAGAACCUUACCUGGGCUUGACAUGUAAUGAACAACAUGUGAAAGCAUGCGACUCUUCGGAGGCGUUACACAGGUGCUGCAUGGCCGUCGUCAGCUCGUGUCGUGAGAUGUUUGGUUAAGUCCAGCAACGAGCGCAACCCCUGUUGCCAGUUACCAGCACGUGAAGGUGGGGACUCUGGCGAGACUGCCCAGAUCAACUGGGAGGAAGGUGGGGACGACGUCAGGUCAGUAUGGCCCUUAUGCCCAGGGCUGCACACGUACUACAAUGCCCAGUACAGAGGGGGCCGAAGCCGCGAGGCGGAGGAAAUCCUGAAAACUGGGCCCAGUUCGGACUGUAGGCUGCAACCCGCCUACACGAAGCCGGAAUCGCUAGUAAUGGCGCAUCAGCUACGGCGCCGUGAACACGUUCCCGGGUCUUGUACACACCGCCCGUCA